rnacentral:lncRNA from 1 species
UGUUAGCCACUCUGGAGAAUCUUCCUUUACCUAUAGAGCUUAUUGUACAGAAUUUAUAGAAGCCAGUGAAAUCAGUGCAUUGAUUAGGCAGAAGAGACAUGAACUGGAAUUGUCAUGGUUUCCUGAUACAUUACCUGGAAUUGGAAGAAUUGGUUUUAUACCCUGGAAUGUUGAAACAGAAGUCCUUCCUCUCAUUUCUUCUGUGUUGCCAAGAACUAUUUUUCCAACAAGUACCAUAUCUUUCGAACAUUUUGGUAA